rnacentral:rRNA from 1 species
CCCUUAGAUGUCCUGGGCUGCACGCGUGCUACAAUGAUACGUGCAAUGAGUUAAUCCUGCUCUGAAAGGAGUGGGUAAUCUUAUGAAUGCGUAUCGUGCUUGGGAUUGACCAUUGUAAUUAUUGGUCAUGAACGAGGAAUUCCUAGUAAGCACAAGUCAUCAGCUUGUGCUGAUUACGUCCCUGCCCUUUGUACACACCGCCCGUCGCUCCUACCGAUGAAUCGUCCGGUGAAGUUCAUGGAGUGGUGGUUGUUCCAGCUGCUGUCGAAGUGAAAUGGACCUCACGAUUUAGAGGAAGGAGAAGUCGUAACA